rnacentral:SRP_RNA from 1 species
GUCGGGCGCGGCGACGCAUGCCUGUAGUCCCAGCUACUCAGGAGGCUGAGGUGGGAGGAUCGCUUGAGCCCAGGAGUUCUGCGCUGUAGUGCGCUAUGCCGAUCGGGUGUCUGCACUAAGUUUGGCAUCAAUAUGGUGACCUCCUGGGAGGGGGGACCACCAGGUUGCCUAAGGAGGGGUGAACCGGCCCCGGUUGGAAACGGAGCAGGUCAAACCACCCGUGCUGAUCAGUACCGGGAUCGCGCCUGUGAAUAGCCACUGCAUGCCAGCCUGGGCAACAGAGUGACACCCCGUCUCU